CCUACGGGAGGCAGCAGUGGGGAAUUUUGGACAAUGGGCGCAAGCCUGAUCCAGCAAUGCCGCGUGAGUGAAGAAGGCCUUCGGGUUGUAAAGCUCUUUUGUCAGGGAAGAAACGGUGGGAGCUAAUAUCUCCUGCUAAUGACGGUACCUGAAGAAUAAGCACCGGCUAACUACGUGCCAGCAGCCGCGGUAAUACGUAGGGUGCAAGCGUUAAUCGGAAUUACUGGGCGUAAAGCGUGCGCAGGCGGUUUUGUAAGUCUGAUGUGAAAUCCCCGGGCUCAACCUGGGAAUUGCAUUGGAGACUGCAAGGCUAGAAUCUGGCAGAGGGGGGUAGAAUUCCACGUGUAGCAGUGAAAUGCGUAGAUAUGUGGAGGAACACCGAUGGCGAAGGCAGCCCCCUGGGUCAAGAUUGACGCUCAUGCACGAAGACGGUGGGAGGACGAACAAGGAGUAGUAUACCUACGGUAGUCCGACCGACCCGUAAACCGAACUAGUCUACUAGUUAGUUCGGGUUCGUUAUUAGUAC
rnacentral:rRNA from 1 species